rnacentral:sRNA from 18 species
GUCAGCACCCCCGGCUGAAGCACGGGGGCUUCGUGCCCCCGCUUUCAGGUAGCUGACCAGCUUAAGCCUUAACUGGCUACGUGAGCGAGCAAGAGUUAAAGUUCCUACCCUGGAAUGCGUGCUAGUUCCAGGCACUAGA